rnacentral:rRNA from 1 species
UACGUAGGGUGCGAGCGUUAAUCGGAAUUACUGGGCGUAAAGCGUGCGCAGGCGGUUCGCCGUGUCCUGUGUGAAAGCCCCGGGCUUAACCUGGGAAUUGCAUGGGAAACUGGCGGGCUGGAGUGUGGCAGAGGGGGGUGGAAUUCCGCGUGUAGCAGUGAAAUGCGUAGAGAUGCGGAGGAACACCGAUGGCGAAGGCAGCCCCCUGGGCCAACACUGACGCUCAGGUGCGACAGCGUGGGGAGCAAACAGG